rnacentral:rRNA from 1 species
UACGUAGGGUGCAAGCGUUAAUCGGAAUUCCUGGGCGUAAAGCGUGCGCAGGCGGCUUUGCAAGACAGAUGUGAAAUCCCCGGGCUCAACCUGGGAACUGCAUUUGUGACUGCAUGGCUAGAGUACGGUAGAGGGGGAUGGAAUUCCGCGUGUAGCAGUGAAAUGCGUAGAUAUGCGGAGGAACACCGAUGGCGAAGGCAAUCCCCUGGACCUGUACUGACGCUCAUGCACGAAAGCGUGGGGAGCAAACAGG